rnacentral:sRNA from 1 species
GGCUGUGGAGCUGGGCGUGCUGGUCGUCCGGCCCUGGCCCGGAACCGGGCUGGGUAGAGUGAUGCGGACCCUCCUGCUGCUGCUGUGGCUGGCGACGCGCGGAAGCGCGCUCUACUUUCACAUCGGAGAGACGGAGAAGAAGUGCUUUAUUGAGGAGAUCCCGGACGAGACCAUGGUCAUAGGUGCGGGGGCGGGGAGGAAGGGGCGAGUUUGGAACGUGACCGUGGUCUUGGGGUGGGGGAUGCGAGACAGUCAGCUCUCUAGAGCCGGGAGGAGACGGCCUCGCUGUGCCCAGGCGGUCGCGGAACCCAUGCCACCUCGCGCUCCUCUGACCUGGGCUCGCCCUGCUUCCCUCAAGGAAACUACCGGACGCAGCUGUAUGACAAGCAGCGGGAGGAGUACCAGCCGGCCACCCCGGGGCUUGGCAUGUUUGUGGAGGUGAAGGACCCAGAGGACAAGGUCAUCCUGGCCCGGCAGUAUGGCUCUGAGGGCAGGUUCACUUUCACCUCCCAUACCCCUGGCGAGCACCAGAUCUGUCUUCACUCCAAUUCCACCAAGUUCUCCCUCUUUGCUGGAGGCAUGCUGGUAAGUGGGCCCAUGUGAGACUUGCAGGUUUCAGCCUUCAUCCUUUGGUGAGGACUGGGGGACCGGUGGUGCUGUGGAUGAGAGGAUUAUGUCAGAUUUUGUGUCUCCUAAGAACACUGGGUUUCCAGUGGAUAUCCAGGACACAGUGACUGAGCUCUUUGUAUAUGCCUCACUCAGAGCACCAGCCCAGGCUUAAUACUUGCUUGUGUGCCCAGAGUCCCAUGGGGCUAAGACACUGAAGAGGGCCCAGUCUCUUGGCUAAAUGAACAGAUGAAGGAAAGUCGGGGAUGAGCUGUCAGUCUCUGGCAGGAAGAUGGAGCAGGGCUACCAGAUUUCCC